GUAAUAAAUGAGAGAGUAGAUGUAGAAGUAGAAGUGAUAAGUGAUAAAUGAUAAAUAGGCAUAGCCAAUAGCCAAAUCUAUUAUAAUGAACGGAGAGAGGUAAAUGAGGUUACGAUUGAAUUCACACUCCAAUGGACGAAAACAGCAAUGGUUCCCACAUACCCAAGACCAAGAAGCCAAAGAUCACACUCAUAACACCAUCCCAAAUACAAGCAGAAUUCGCCCACCACGACGCCUCCGUCGCCCGCAUCAACAACGGCAGCUUCGGCUCCUGCCCCGCCUCCAUCCUCGCCGCCCAGCGCCGCUCCCAGCUCGCCUUCCUCCGCCACCCUGACCACUUCUACUUCAACCAACUCAGCCCCGCCAUCCUCCGCUCCCGAACCCUAAUCCAGCGCCUCGUCAACGCCCACCACCUCGACGAGAUCUCCAUCGUCGACAACGCCACCACCGCCGCCUCCAUCGUCCUCCAGCACGCCGCCUGGAGCUUCCGCGAAGGCCGCUUCCGCCAGGGCGACGCCGUCCUCAUGCUCCACUACGCCUACGGCGCCGUUAAGAAAUCCAUGGAGGCUUACGUCGCGCGCGCCGGCGGUUACGUCGUGGAGGUUCCCCUCCCGUUCCCCGUUAACUCCAACGAAGAGAUCAUUUCCGAGUUCAGGAAGGCGUUGGAGAGAGGUAAGAGCAACGGUAAGAGGGUUAGGUUAGCGGUUAUCGAUCACGUCACUUCCAUGCCCUGUGUCGUCAUUCCCGUUAAGGAGUUGAUUCAGAUUUGCAGGGAGGAGGGUGUUGACCAGGUUUUCGUCGACGCUGCGCAUUCCAUUGGAUGUACUGACGUUGACAUGCAGGAAAUCGGUGCUGAUUUCUACACUAGUAAUUUGCAUAAGUGGUUCUUUUGUCCACCUUCCAUUGCCUUUUUGUACGCUCGUAGAAACCCUAAGGGUUCUGCUUUUGAUUUGCAUCACCCUGUUGUGUCUCAUGAGUACGGCAAUGGCCUUGCUGUGGAGAGUGCUUGGAUUGGGACUAGGGAUUACAGUGCUCAGUUGGUGGUUCCGGAGGCGGUGGAGUUCGUUAACCGCUUUGAAGGAGGCAUUGAGGGGAUCAAGAAGAGGAAUCAUGAGGGUGUUGUUGAGAUGGGGGAGAUGCUUGCAAAGGCGUGGGGGACUCACCUUGGCUGCCCCCCUCAUAUGUGUUGUAGCAUGGUUAUGGUUGGAAUGCCAGCUUCUUUGGGAAUUGAAAGUGAUUCGGAUGCUCUCAAGUUGAGGACGCAUUUGAGGGAUGCUUUUGGGGUUGAGGUUCCCAUUUACUACCGACCGCCGCAAGAGGGGGAGGUUGGGGUGGUGACUGGAUACGCAAGGAUUUCUUAUCAAGUGUAUAAUAAGGUCGAUGACUAUUACAAGUUCAGGGAUGCGGUUAACCAGCUUGUGCAAAAUGGGUUCACUUGUGGUGAGCUUUCGGAUUGAAAAGUUGUCCAUUGAAUCCAAUACUUCUCUAAAAGGCUUCUUCUUGGAACAAGAUUCAACAGAGGGUAAAUUAGUAUUUCCUUCAUAAAUCAUGAGGCAUUACUGAAAAAAGUUGCCGCUAUAUGAUUUCAUGCUUCUAACCUCGGGAAAAUGCAAGAAACUCUCGUGGUUGGUGCCACUAGUGAAAUAUAUAUUUGAGGUUUUGGUACAUUACCCAAGUAUAGAGCUGAGAGGUGUCACUGUUGUCUUUCUGAUGAAUAAAAACAAUGUUUCUAUGAUUGCUUGCAAGCUUGGCUAGUUGUGAUGUUUUGGUACCACAAACUGCAGGUUUUGCUGAGAAACUACAGAAAUUGCUCAUAUUAGCGUUGCUGAGUAAAUUUCUUUAGGAGUAAAUUCUAUGUUGAGAUCUAUGGAGAUAUACUUGUAAAUAUAAUCAUGAUUCUCUGAUGGUUUAAUGCUUUUAACCUUCAUUGUGCCAGUUGAAGUUCAACCUUCAUUUUCAAACAGCUUUGGGAUAUGUUUAGUUAAAAAGUUUAGUUGGUCAAUUUUUUUAUCAGUCAUUUCUGCCCUUCGAACAUCAUUUACCCAUUUUCAUUUUUCAGAGUAUAAACCGAUUUUCAUUUUUCAAGCAUUCCUGUUACCCACUUGCAUGUCGUGUCGGUGUACCAGAGUUGUAUAACCAUAAAACUCCAUGCUCCAUUUGCGUGUUAGGUUCCCAUGCCAAAAUCUCUUUACAGAUGCCAAACACUCCUUGUUACUGUUCCAAUAAAAAUCCCUGUUAUUAGUCUUCAAAACCACCUUUUAUGCCAUGAAUCUAACCGGCACCCAAAUGUUAGUGGUUUUAUGUUAAAGAGGAGUUUGGUUUGGUGAUCAUACUGUGCUCUGUUUCUAUGGGUUCUGUUUUAUGUUGCAAGUUGUAUGUGGGGAACGUGGUUGUUUAAGUUUCGAUGAGCUAUAAGGGUGGAUUCUGUUUGGCUGAUAGGGAUAUUAUUGGCUUCAACCUGGACUGAGCUUCACAGAUGUUGGUUCAUGGUGUUCCCGGGGUGUUCUAGUUAUUUUAUUCACGGUAGUGUGGCAUCUGUAGGUAGUAAGGUAGGGGUUAUUUCUUGUAUUUCAUGGUUUAAAAGGAACGGGUUCAAAGGUUGCAACUAUAGAUGAUAAUGAUUUUCAGGGCUCUCAUGACGUGCAGAAAAACAUGGGACGUUAUAUACGAAUGAUUUUGUAA